rnacentral:lncRNA from 1 species
AGAAUAUAGUUGAGUGGAGUUUAACUGAUGGCUACAAGUUCUGCAGAAUUUCAGAAUGCCAAAUAAUAUGUUAGUCUGAAGAGAAAUUAUGGAAGUUCCGGGGAGUGGUGAGCAUUAUCACUAGAGACUUCGGUUAAAGGUGGAGCAGACCCAAAUCAUGGACGAUUCCUCAAGCUGAGCAACAAGCGAGUUCGGUAGCUACCUGCAAAUCCAUCCCUCAGAAUCAAGACAUAAUUUCCUGCUGACAUCAUAACCGAAAGGAUAAGUCACAAAUGGAAAAAUAAGUAUAAUGUAAUACCCAGACAUCAGCAUCUU